rnacentral:rRNA from 1 species
AGAGUUUGAUCCUGGCUCAGGACGAACGCUGGCGGCGCGCCUAACACAUGCAAGUCGAACGAGCGAGAGAGAGCUUGCUUUCUCGAGCGAGUGGCGAACGGGUGAGUAACGCGUGAGGAACCUGCCUCAAAGAGGGGGACAACAGUUGGAAACGACUGCUAAUACCGCAUAAGCCCACGGUGCCGCAUGGUACAGAGGGAAAAGGAGCAAUCCGCUUUGAGAUGGCCUCGCGUCCGAUUAGCUAGUUGGUGAGGUAACGGCCCACCAAGGCGACGAUCGGUAGCCGGACUGAGAGGUUGAACGGCCACAUUGGGACUGAGACACGGCCCAGACUCCUACGGGAGGCAGCAGUGGGGAAUAUUGCACAAUGGGGGAAACCCUGAUGCAGCGACGCCGCGUGGAGGAAGAAGGUCUUCGGAUUGUAAACUCCUGUUGUUGGGGAAGAUAAUGACGGUACCCAACAAGGAAGUGACGGCUAACUACGUGCCAGCAGCCGCGGUAAAACGUAGGUCACAAGCGUUGUCCGGAAUUACUGGGUGUAAAGGGAGCGCAGGCGGGAAGACAAGUUGGAAGUGAAAUCUAUGGGCUCAACCCAUAAACUGCUUUCAAAACUGUUUUUCUUGAGUAGUGCAGAGGUAGGCGGAAUUCCCGGUGUAGCGGUGGAAUGCGUAGAUAUCGGGAGGAACACCAGUGGCGAAGGCGGCCUACUGGGCACCAACUGACGCUGAGGCUCGAAAGUGUGGGUAGCAAACAGGAUUAGAUACCCUGGUAGUCCACACCGUAAACGAUGAUUACUAGGUGUUGGAGGAUUGACCCCUUCAGUGCCGCAGUUAACACAAUAAGUAAUCCACCUGGGGAGUACGACCGCAAGGUUGAAACUCAAAGGAAUUGACGAGGGCCCGCACAAGCAGUGGAGUAUGUGGUUUAAUUCGACGCAACGCGAAGAACCUUACCAAGUCUUGACAUCCCUUGACAGGCAUAGAAAUAUGUUUUCUCUUCGGAGCAAGGAGACAGGUGGUGCAUGGUUGUCGUCAGCUCGUGUCGUGAGAUGUUGGGUUAAGUCCCGCAACGAGCGCAACCCUUAUGGUCAGUUACUACGCAAGAGGACUCUGGCCAGACUGCCGUUGACAAAACGGAGGAAGGUGGGGAUGACGUCAAAUCAUCAUGCCCUUUAUGACUUGGGCUACACACGUACUACAAUGGCGUUAAACAAAGAGAAGCGAGACCGCGAGGUGGAGCAAAACUCAGAAACAACGUCCCAGUUCGGACUGCAGGCUGCAACUCGCCUGCACGAAGUCGGAAUUGCUAGUAAUCGUGGAUCAGCAUGCCACGGUGAAUACGUUCCCGGGCCUUGUACACACCGCCCGUCACACCAUGAGAGCCGGGGGGACCCGAAGUCGGUAGUCUAACCG